rnacentral:rRNA from 1 species
ACGACUCUCGAUAAUGGAUAUCUCGACUCUCGCAUCAAUGAAGAAUGUAGCAAAAUGCGAUACCUUGUAUGAAUUAUAGAAUCUCAUGAAUCAUCGAGUCUUUGAAUGCAAGUUAAGCUCGAGGCCACCUAGCGAGGGCAUGCCUGCUUGGGCAUCACAU